rnacentral:misc_RNA from 1 species
ACACCUCAACUCUUCAUGGUUUUUCUGUGAUGAGCUUGGACUUUGGGGGUUUUGCUGGCCUAUGGUCGGCUCCUCUAAAAUGAAUCAGCUUGCCAGUGUUUGGUGGGCAUCACGGGUGUGAUAACUAUCUACGCUUGUGGUUUUCCACCAGGUAACCUUCAGCAAUGGAGGUUCGCUGGAGCUCACAGAUGUCUCUCCUCGGUGAGGAUGACCCUUUGAAU